GACCAUCUUCUUUCCAUGUGGCAUUCUCUCUAGCAUUUUUCUCUAUUUUCUCCCGCUCAAUGAUAUCAAAUCUGUAAUCAGUUAUGAAUCCCUAAACUUCAACUGUCGAGAUUUGUGCAGUCAACAAUCAAAGUAUCUUCAACCGAUUAUUCAAGGUAAUCACAAUAAAUCAGGGGGUCUUUGUCAAAUUUUAAUCGGAUAAGCUAUUAAAUCACCACUGCUUAAACAACAUCAGACACCACCGCACCACCCAUCUCACAAUGCUCUCGAGAAACCCUAAGUUUCACCACAACAACCAUUGCACAGCACCACUCACUGCCACCCUCGCUUCUUUCCAGGUUGAUGAUCAACCUGCAUGAUUGAAUUUAUGUGCCUUGGACCAGGUUCACAAGGAAAUGAGGAGUUGUGAAAUAGUAAAGGUAGGUCCACGCACAUAAGCUUGAAGAAGAAGUGAAGCUUCUUAAGAGUCUUUUUGAUCCUUACAUUGAUUCAAGUGCAGUUUCAUUGAGAUUCUUGAAAUGGUUGUUCCUCAUGGCAAGCAACUAUGAAAUUUCAAACUGCAAUUUUUUCUAUAGUCCUCUUGUAUAUGAAUAUCUAAUUCUUUCAAGCAUGUCAUAAGAAUAUGCACAAAAUAAGUGUCACGGGGACAAUUCUAUUCUUUCAAGACCUAAAGUUGAUGAUUCAAUCAA